CACGUAGGGUGCAAGCGUUGUCCGGAAUCAUUGGGCGUAAAGAGCUCGUAGGCGGCUUAGUAAGUCGGGUGUGAAAACCCCAGGCUCAACCUGGGGACGCCACCCGAUACUGCUAUAGCUAGAGUCCAGUAGGGGAGUGUGGAAUUCCCAGUGUAGCGGUGAAAUGCGCGGAUAUUGGGAGGAACACCAGCGGCGAAGGCGGCACUCUGGGCUGGUACUGACGCUGAGGAGCGAAAGCGUGGGUAGCGAACAGG
rnacentral:rRNA from 1 species